CAGGCAUAAUGAGGAAGAAGUAACAAAAAAUCUGACUUAUUGUGAUGAUCAAUCACCUCCUACUCAUUCUGA
rfam:Gossypium raimondii Chr11_contig_279, whole genome shotgun sequence.